rnacentral:rRNA from 1 species
AUUGAACGCUGGCGGCAGGCCUAACACAUGCAAGUCGAGCGGAUGAAGGGAGCUUGCUCCUGGAUUCAGCGGCGGACGGGUGAGUAAUGCCUAGGAAUCUGCCCGGCAGUGGGGGAUAACGUCCGGAAACGGGCGCUAAUACCGCAUACGUCCUGAGGGAGAAAGUGGGGGAUCUUCGGACCUCACGCUAUCAGAUGAGCCUAGGUCGGAUUAGCUAGUUGGUGGGGUAAAGGCCUACCAAGGCGACGAUCCGUAACUGGUCUGAGAGGAUGAUCAGUCACACUGGAACUGAGACACGGUCCAGACUCCUACGGGAGGCAGCAGUGGGGAAUAUUCGACAAUGGGCGAAAGCCUGAUGCAGCCAUGCCGCGUGUGUGAAGAAGGUCUUCGGAUUGUAAAGCACUUUAAGUUGGGAGGAAGAGAAGUAAGUUAAUACAUUGCUGUUUUGACGUUACCAAAAGAGUAAGCACCGGCUAACUACGUG